GCUUGCGAAUUUCCAAAUUAUUUGUGUUGUAUUAGCAAUAUUAUGUGUGUUUAAGUGAUCACUAAUAUCCUAUAUAUUGCGCGAAUUACCCAGAGACCAACAUGGGAACAAGGCCUAUAUUUCGCUCAA